AUGAUCUUAUCUCCGCUUCUUGUUUCUUUAGAUGGGCUAUUAGAGAUUGGUUUAACAAUGCAGAGAAAUAUAACUGAUGAAGAGAGGAUGAGAAUGGAGGAAUCUGUCCAGUUUCUGGGAAACAUCCAGGCGGUUUCACCAUAUGAAUCUGUAGGGCUGCUGCAGUUGGAGUUAAGGGAACUGGCCCAGGCUGUGAUUGGACCCCUGAAGAGUGGGCUCCAUUCCUUCAACAACGUCUCGGACAUGCUCCUCAGUGUCAAUGCAGAUAUUGUCCUUCCUGGAUGCCGGACCUUUAAUAAGAUCAGACAAGAGAUUAAAAACAUGAAGCAGCAGAUGGAAAAGUCAGAGCUGGUGGCCGGAAACGAGCUUCAACGCCUGGAUUGGGAGACUGAGAGACUCACUGCAGAGCAGAGUCAUUUAGCGAAUGAGAGAAGGCAGAGAGAGGGUGAGUUAGGAACAUUUAAAACACAGCUGGAGUCACACAGAUCCUCUUUAGAGAGUUACAAUGAAGCUCUAAGGACAGAGAAGAGAAACCUGGAGUCAGCAGAAGACACCCUGCGCAGGCAGAGGCAGAGAAGAGACGAGGCAGAGACGAUAAGGAAUGCUGGGUUUUUUGUUACAUUAAUCCCAAUUGCGGGCUGGAUUGCUGGCCCAGCUAUGAUGAUUGGUGGUCAAAUAGACAUGAUUGUAGCCUCUGAAGCAGCAGGCACCGCUAGGAGGGAGAUAGAGAACUGUGAAUCUCAGGUGAGAUCAUACUCUGGCAAAGUGUCUGAAUACUGGAACUUGAUCCAUAAAGCUGUCUGCGACAUCCAAGAGGUUGACUGUCGGAUUCGUGAGAUGGAGGCCAAGCGGCGGGGUGUGUCUGUGAAGCGGGAGGUUGUUGCUGAUGUUCAGGCUAAAAUGAGGAGAACUGUCCAUCAGCUGGGGCUGCUGUGUGGAGUGGGGAGCGCGGCAGAGCUGCAGACCCGACGCCUGAUCCUGCUGGAGCCUGUGAUGAAGGUGAUGGAGGAGAUGACAACAGCACUGGGUCAGAUCACUGGAGAUGACCUGCUGCACACAGAAGGCAUAAAGAGCCUAAUGUGGGAUAUGAAGAAGAACCAGAAUAAACUACGACAACUUGCUGACACCAGAGAUACUGGUCUAUAUAAUGAAUAUUACUAACUUGCCAUUCCCUAACUACAUUUUUGUUAAUCUCUAUUUCCUCUAAACUUGAAAAUCUUUUGAAAAUCUCACAGAGCUUUAUUUGACAAAGACAGGACUUGAUGGGCUAUUUUGGAUAAAAUGCUUGCUUGUUUCCCUUUUGUUUAGAUGCUUAGAGAGAUGUGUAUUAAUGUAAGCGCAGCCUUCCUUAAUUGAAAGUAAGCACUGCACUGGUCUGAUGAAAUGAGAAUAGGAUUGUAAGUGAAAAGAGAAAAUAAACACAUUUUAAAACGCUUUUUUAAUUUUAUG
rnacentral:lncRNA from 1 species